UAAUACGUAGGGUGCAAGCGUUGUCCGGAAUUAUUGGGCGUAAAGAGCUCGUAGGCGGUGUGUCGCGUCUGCUGUGAAAACUCAGGGCUCAACUCUGAGCUUGCAGUGGGUACGGGCACACUAGAGUGCUGUAGGGGAGACUGGAAUUCCUGGUGUAGCGGUGAAAUGCGCAGAUAUCAGGAGGAACACCGGUGGCGAAGGCGGGUCUCUGGGCAGUUACUGACGCUGAGGAGCGAAAGCAUGGGGAGCGAACAGGAUUAGAUACCCUGGUAGUCCAUGCCGUAAACGUUGGGCGCUAGGUGUGGGGUCCAUUCCACGGAUUCCGUGCCGCAGCUAACGCAUUAAGCGCCCCGCCUGGGGAGUACGGCCGCAAGGCUA
rnacentral:rRNA from 1 species